ACCUGGAACCGAGGAGAAGGGAGUCACCUGGCACCCCAAUGGGUGCCCAGCACACUCCAAAGCAGGAGCCGGGUGCAGACCAGAACACGACACAGGACUACCCGGGGGCAGCAGGCAGCUGGACGAAGUCCAUCGUCCCAACCAAGGGACACCUGAGAAGGCCUGCGCAUCAAUCUCCUUCAAGGAAAUGUACUGCAAGUUCUGUUUCCACGUGCGCAACGAUGACAUGGGGAAAACCACUGGCUUCCCACCAAAGCCCCUACUCCAUCAGGGGACCGAGCCCCAUGCGGCAGGCAGGCGUGGGUGGCGCAGCUGGGGUGUGCCUCCCUCUCCCAUCCCGCCGUCUGGCAGGGGGUGCAGAGCCCCCCCACAUGCCCUCUUCCAGGAGCUGCUGAGGCUGCACCAAGCAGAGAGGCACCCACCUCGCUGGCCAGCACCCAGUGCUCCCAAACCCCUGGAGGUUCAUCAGAUCACGAACUGGACGAGGAGAGCAAACCAGUCCUGUCCCUUUUCAAACUCUGAAAUCUGUGUCUAUAAUGCAAAGUCUUUUCAUGACCGCACCUGAAGAAUGCAUCAGGUGGAAGAUGGCCCGUGGCAAGAUGCCAUUCCAUCAACUUUGGCUUUCGGAGACAAGGAGAAUUCCAGGCCGCACCUGGGGACGGGUGAGCCACUGCCCACACGUGUCCGCACACAGGCUGGGUAGCAUCCUGUGGGCACGACUGCCCCGCACCUAACCUCUGGGAGGGUUUACUGUCGACUCGGCCAGCUCCGUGAAGACACGGGUACAACCCGGCGUUACCCGGCACCCAGCACACUCCUGGGGGAUCCAAUCACUGGCCCGUCAGAUGUCCUUGACCAUGAACCUGGGCUGCAGUGGAGGCACCCCAGGAGCAAGCUCGCUUUAAUAAAAUCCUCCCAGCCGGCCUUACAUAACCGUAAUCUCCAAAUUCGGGCAAGCUGCUCAUGCUGCUGGUCUUGCACAACAGGGGAUGGGCCAAAGCACCGAGGGGACCCAGACAGGACACGCUUCCAGUUCGAGAUGUCACUCUGGGAGGGGUGAGUAUGUCCCAGCCUCUGCGACCCAUAGAAACAAAGCACAAAGAGGAAAAGCCCAGACGGCACAAGGGAGGAGGUGGGAGACCAGCACAGAUAAGCUUCCAGCAGCUCCAGGGAGACCAGCACGAGCAUGGGGACAGACAGUGUGGAGCAGGGACAAAAGACUGGUCUGCACCUGGGGGCCGUGGCCACCUGGGGCUUCCGGCUGGCAGUCGGCAGGCAGGGAGGGCAGACGCCAAGCAGCUCAGAGUCAGGGUCAGCCCGGGGACGGCUGUGCUGGCGAGGACCCAUCAGAAAGGACAGAACACACCGUGGCUCAGACCAGCGCGGGGCGCCAUCCCAAACACCCUGGUCAGCAGUGUGACGGGCAGUGUGUGGGGGCCAUGUGGGCGGCCAGCCCCUCAGCCCUCCUAGGUGGGAGAGGAGCAGACCUCAGACCGAUAUGGAGAAAAUCAUCAACACCAUCCCCUACCCUAAAGAAUGUGGAAAAUGGGUUUUUAAAUAAAAAACAACCAGGGAACUCAGAAUUGCAUCCUGAAGGAAAAUCUGCAGCAUGGAACACAAAGACUAGAGAACUAAUUAGGAAGAAAGGAAAUUCCAAAAUAUUUCCAAUACACACCCUCAGAGAGAUGAGAGGAGUGUGGAAGCAAAAAGAAACAGGAGAACAGAAUGCUCACACAUACUAAACACACAGAGGCUAAAAUAAAACUCCCAACAGCAAGGCUGGAAAGCAUCAAGGGAGAGACAAGAUGCAUCAGGCGGUCAGUGUGGCAUGCCAUAAACCACGGCAGCCACGGGACAACGCUCCAGAGUUGAAGGAAAACGUGCCUGCUGACAAAAAACCCACUGAGGGCUACACAGAACGAAUGAAAGAUGACUCACACAAACUCGUGGUUUCAUAACCUCAGGUGUUUAAGGCCCCGAAAGUUCCCCAGGGAAAAAAAGUUUACUCACAAAGAACCUGAAUGGAAGAUCUCUAGAAUCAGUUACACUGGAUGCAGAAGCACAAGCAGGCCAUGCCUUCCAUCUUCCAAGUGGAGAAUUUUCGUGAAGUUAGAUUUCUAUUCAUACCCAAACCAGAGAAUAAGCAGAGGUUUAAAAUAACUACGUUUUAAAACAUUCGAGAUCUCUGGAUUUAUAACGUAUCUUGAGAAAGUUCCUUGAGGCUAAACCACAGCAAAAUGAGAAGAAAAUUAAACCAGAGGAAGAUCUCCUGCACAGUUUGGUGACCGCAGCUCACAUCCCUGUCUCAUGUGCGCAGGUUGCUAAGGCAGCAGAACUGAAACACUCCUCACACACACACAAAACCGUAACUACGUAUGGCAAAGGAGGCCACCAAACCUGCCAUGGUGAUCAUCCCAUGAUACACACGGACUUCAAAUCAGUACUCUACACACCCGAGCUAGUAACAGCAUUAUAUGUCAAUUAUAUCUUACUAAAACUGGGGGAGGGGGAAGAGGAAGGUGCAACAGAGAUCCCCAACAUACUGAAUUUCAUCUAGAAGUGUGGUGAAAGGAAGUUCCUGGAUGGGAGCUGUACAGAACUCAAACACAAUCGGCCCAGGUUGGAAUGAGAGGUGAAAGGACCUCAGGAAAGUGGUUUCUAGACAAUACACUGUACCAGAGAGUCUGGGUGGCUCUGAGGUUAUGAUGAAAGCAUACUAUUUUUUACAAGAAAAAGAAAGCAAGAAACACACCAGGAAAACAAGAAGCUACACAAGAAAUUUCCUGAUCCGAAACAGAAAAUAAUGGAGUAAAACCCUGAAAAAGCUUUCUUUUUCAAAGCAACAAGAACACUGGUGAAAACUGUCAAUAUGUAGUUUCCAAACUUUGGAAACUAACCAAAGGUUUGCAGGAAUCCAGAGAGCAUUUAUGCAAGCAACACAAGCUUUGUGACCUUCUAACUUACCCUAGACCCAUUCUCACUCUCCAGUCCCUUGGUAACCCACGCUCCCAGCACAGUAUGGCACACCUGAGAGAGCAGAAAGGGGCUGGGGCUCCUUCAAAACUCCAUUCCUAAAGAACUGUGAGUACCUGUCCUAUGUGACAGUUCCCUGGAAGAUCCCACCUGUUAGGCUGGUUUUGAAUGGACUCAGAAAAGCCUUUUCCCCAGAGAGUGUUUGCUGCAAACAAUUACAGGCAAGUAUUUUAAUUUCACUGUGGACUGCAAUACUGGAUAACAGCUGAGGCAAACAAAAAAAACGCUGGGGAAUACAAUGUUCAUGGAGGUUUUGAACAUUUGGGCCACGUGAAUGUGCAGGCCGUGUGCAAGCUUAGGAAAAAUCCUUAGGUGAGGCCCUAACCCCUCACCACCAGCUGACUUUGAGACUCUGCAUGAGCAGGAAAUGGAGUCUAUGGCAGACUUUUCAACUGCGAGGCUAAGUGUUAAAGGCAUGCCCCGAUAUGUACAUGGAGCUCCAUGGAAGAAAGAUUCACUGGUUCUAGGUGUUUAAGAAAGUCUGUCCAAUCAGGACACCUGGGUGGCUCAGUCGGUUGAGCGUCUGACUUUGGCGCAGGUCAUGAUCUCACAGUUUGCGGGUUCAAGCCCUGUAUCAGACUCUGUGCUGACCACUUGCUCAGAGCCUGGAGCCUGCUUCAGAUUCUGUGUCUCCUUCUCUCUCUGCCCCUCCCCUGCUCACGCUUUGUCUCACUCUGUUUCUCAAAAAUAAAUAAAUGUUAAAAAAAAAAAAA